CUACGGGUCGCAGCAGUGGGGAAUAUUGCACAAUGGGCGCAAGCCUGAUGCAGCCAUGCCGCGUGUAUGAAGAAGGCCUUCGGGUUGUAAAGUACUUUCAGCGGGGAGGAAGGGAGUAAAGUUAAUACCUUUGCUCAUUGACGUUACCCGCAGAAGAAGCACCGGCUAACUCCGUGCCAGCAGCCGCGGUAAUACGGAGGGUGCAAGCGUUAAUCGGAAUUACUGGGCGUAAAGCGCACGCAGGCGGUUUGUUAAGUCAGAUGUGAAAUCCCCGGGUUCAACCUGGGAACUGCAUCUGAUACUGGCAAGCUUGAGUCUCGUAGAGGGGGGUAGAAUUCCAGGUGUAGCGGUGAAAUGCGUAGAGAUCUGGAGGAAUACCGGUGGCGAAGGCGGCCCCCUGGACGAAGACUGACGCUCAGGUGCGAAAGCGUGGGGAGCAAACAGGAUUAGAUACCCCGGUAGUC
rnacentral:rRNA from 1 species